rnacentral:lncRNA from 1 species
UGAAUAUCUAAAGCUGCUAGAAUGCCUUUGUACUUUACUGCUUAUGUAUGUUUUANUGCGCAUAUAUGUUUGCCAUUGAAUGUCCUGCACGCCNCAUACAUAUCCUGGUUNUCUUUCCCUAUCCAUUCUCGNUACUGCAUACUGUUUGUCACCCAUACUAACAACAAAGAUUUGCCUCAUCACAAACCUGCAAACUAAUGUCUCNCAUACAUAAUCCNAUCAUCAUCUUCGACCNUGAUUUAUUCUACCGAAAUUCCAAUGUCGUUUUUCCUGCAAGAAGAAAAGAACUAAUCUGAACACCUUGAAUCAAUCACGGCAAUCACAAACC